rnacentral:rRNA from 1 species
UACGAAGGAUCCUAGCGUUGUCCGGAUUUACUGGGUUUAAAGGGAGCGUAGGCGGACUUUUAAGUCAGUGGUGAAAGCCUGCAGCUUAACUGUAGAAUUGCCAUUGAAACUGAUUGUCUCGAGUGCGGUUGAGGUCACUGGAAUGUAUCAUGUAGCGGUGAAAUGCUUAGAUAUGAUACAGAACACCAAUUGCGAAGGCAGGUGACUAAACCGUAACU